rnacentral:rRNA from 1 species
GACGAACCGUGCGAACGUUGUUCGGAAUUACUGGGCGUAAAGGGCGCGUAGGCGGGAUGGCAAGUCGGUCGUGAAAUCCCUCGGCUCAACUGAGGAUCGUCGAUCGAUACUGCCGUUCUUGAGGAUUGCAGAGGAGACUGGAAUUCCCGGUGUAGCGGUGAAAUGUGUAGAGAUCGGGAGGAACACCGGUGGCGAAGGCGGGUCUCUGGGCCGAUACUGACGCUGAGGAGCGAAAGCGUGGGGAGCGAACAGG